GCCCAGCUGGCUCAGCUGGUAGAGCAUGCAACUCUUGAUCUCAGGGUCGUGAGUUCAAAUCCCACGCUGGGUG